rnacentral:rRNA from 1 species
GACGAACGCUGGCGGCGUGCUUAACACAUGCAAGUCGAACGAUGAAGAAGAGAUACACGAACUUCGGUUCAAAUUUCACUUCGGAUUUGUGGCAGACGGUGGAGUAACGCGUGAGCAACCUACCUCUUACAAAGGGAUAUCCCCGGGAAACCGUGAUUAAUACCAUAUGACACAUUCAUAAGGCAUCUUAAGAAUGUUAAAGGUACGGCGGUAAGGGAUGGGCUCGCGUCCCAUUAGCUAGUUGGUGAGGUAACGGCCCACCAAGGCGCCAAUGGGUAAACGGCCUGUGAGGCAGAGCGGUGACAUUGGAACUGAGCCACAGUCCAAACUCCUACGCGAGGGAGCCGUGGGGAAUACUGCCCUGUGGAGGGAAGGCUGAUGGAGCGAGGCCGCGUGAGCGAUGUAGGAAUGGAUUUCGUAAACCUCUCUUAUAUGGGAAGAAGAGGACUGUACCAGAGGAGAAAGCCCCGGCUAACUACGUG